UCCACCCCGUAAACGUUGGGAACUAGUUGUGGGGUCCAUUCCACGGAUUCCGUGACGCAGCUAACGCAUUAAGUUCCCCGCCUGGGGAGUACGGCCGCAAGGCUAAAACUCAAAGGAAUUGACGGGGACCCGCACAAGCGGCGGAGCAUGCGGAUUAAUUCGAUGCAACGCGAAGAACCUUACCAAGGCUUGACAUAUACGAGAACGGGCCAGAAAUGGUCAACUCUUUGGACA
rnacentral:rRNA from 1 species